rnacentral:misc_RNA from 1 species
AUAUACUCAGAUUUAUCCAAACUUGCAUACUAUAAACAUCCACAUCAAUACAGGGAUCAUAUGAUGCCCUCAGCCCUCAUGACUAGACGCUAAAAACUGACUUCCCAUACAACAUCUCUUUCAAUCCCACGCGCACAAGCUCGCCCUUUUGUGUUCGUUCCAAUUCAACCUCUCCAUCUUCUAACCGUACUAGUAAAAAAUAUAAGUACGGAUAUUAUUAUUGUUAUUUUGGGGGGUUUAUGAAGAAGCUGGCAUUGGAGAUACUCAAACUUAGAAUUCCAUUCUAAGUUGGAGAUGCACUUAAUACCAAGCUAUGCCUGCUAUCUUAUAUAUACCACCUAAUAUUUUCUUAAUAAAUUAUAUAGAAAAACUCCAUAGUGACACAUCAGCUGCAUCCAUUUCUCCGUCUUCUCCUCCGCUCCCUGCAACGCACUGAGGUGGAGGAAGUAGCAUCCCUUCUGCCAUAGAUGCCAGUAGUCCCGGCAUUGCAAAAACCGCCUCUUCGUCCAUAUAAAACACAUCCUCCGGCGCUGACUCUGUCGUCCACUUAUUUUCCUGUUUUAAUUCUCCAGAAAACCCUUCUGUCCCCUCCGGCUGGAACGCCAUCGCCGCCUCUGCUGCUGCCUUCCUAAUGUCCUUUGCUUCUCUGGACGCAGGUACAGGAAGUCGCCAUGACGAGUCCGCAAAAUUCAAGCAGGCAGACCGUCCUCUGAGAGCCAGCGCCGCCACGUCGUGGGCCCUAGCAGCCAUUUCCUCCGUGGGGAAAGUCCCCAACCAUAUUCUUGAUUUCUUGUUGGGUUCUCUAAUUUCACAAACCCACUUCCCGGAGUUCCUCCGACGGACCCCACGAUAAAUAGGAUGGCGUGUCUCCCGGAACUUCUUUCUGCCUGCGCGCUUCUUGGGAUAGCUGGAAGCUAACAAGACUUCCUCAUCGGAAAGGUUCGCACGAAGAGCACUGCAGGUAUCAGACAAUGUAGAAGAUUCUGGGUAGUGAAGUGAGCAGGAAUGAGUGGCAAAAGGAAGUGAGUCAGAAUAUUGAGGGAAAACAUCCAUAGUAGAGAGGGAAACGGUUGGUUUAAGCUAGAAGCGUGAGUACUGAGUGUGAAUUGCAAA